GGGGAUUUAGCUCAGUGGUAGAGUACUUGCCUAGCAAGCACAAGGCCCUGGGUUCGGUCCCCAGCUCCG
rfam:Rattus norvegicus chromosome 2, whole genome shotgun sequence.